rnacentral:rRNA from 1 species
AUUGAACGCUGGCGGCAGGCUUAACACAUGCAAGUCGAGCGAGCGGCGGACGGGUGAGUAAUGUCUGGGAAACUGCCUGAUGGAGGGGGAUAACUACUGGAAACGGUAGCUAAUACCGCAUACCAUCAGAUGUGCCCAGAUGGGAUUAGCUAGUGGGUGGGGUAAUGGCUCACCUAGGCGACGAUCCCUAGCUGGUCUGAGAGGAGGAAGAGCCACAUGGGAACUGAGACAGGGUCCAGACGCCUAGGGGGGGCAGCAGUGGGGAAUAUUGCACAAUGGGCGCAAGCCUGAUGCAGCCAUGCCGCGGGGGUGAAGAGGGCCUUCGGGUUGUAAAGCACUUUCAGCGAGGAGGCGUUACUCGCAGAAGAAGCACCGGCUAACUCCGUGCCAGCAGCCGCGGUAAUUC